rnacentral:rRNA from 1 species
AGAAUCAACGCUGGCGGCGUGCCUAACACAUGCAAGUCGAACGCGAAAGUCCCGCAAGGGAUUAGUAGAGUGGCAAACGGGUGAGUAACGCGUGGGUGACCUGCCUUCGAGUGGGGGAUAACGUUUCGAAAGGGACGCUAAUACCGCAUGACAUCCUGCCUUUGAAGAGGCGGAGAUCAAAGCCGGGGAUCGCAAGACCUGGCGCUUGAUGAGGGGCCCGCGUCUGAUUAGCUAGUUGGUGGGGUAACGGCUCACCAAGGCAACGAUCAGUA